rnacentral:rRNA from 1 species
CCUACGGGUGGCAGCAGUGGGGAAUAUUGCACAAUGGGGGAAACCCUGAUGCAGCAACGCCGCGUGAAGGAAGACGGUUUUCGGAUUGUUAACUUCUGUUUAUAGUGAAGUAUAAUGCCGGUUGCUAAGUACUAAGCAUCGGCUAACUACGUGACAGUAGCCGCGGUAAUACGUAGGUGGCGAGCGUUGUCCGGAAUUACUGGGUGUAAAGGGAGCGCAGGCGGGAAGCUAAGUCAGCUGUGAAAACUACGGGCUUAACUUGUAGACUGCAGUUGAAACUGGUUUUCUUGAGUGCAGUAGAGGUUGGCGGAAUUCGGAGUGUAGCGGUGAAAUGCGUAGAUAUUCGGAGGAACACCGGUGGCGAAGGCGGCCAGCUGGGCUGUAACUGACGCUGAUGCUCGAAAGUGUGGGUAGCAAACAGGAUUAGAUACCCCGGUAGUC